UCCCACUUUAAAAGCCAGACUCUGGUAGAGAUGUGUCUCAAUGCGCCAAGCUGCGCGAGAUGCCUGGUGUGUGUCAGCCAUGCACCGAGCGGUGUAGCCAAGUGACUAUUCCUUUAAAUUUGUGUCUUUUUCUCACUGCAGAUGCAGCAAAACAACACUCAAUCUGUGCCAGAGAUGCCGGACUGCGACUGACCACCCAGGAAUUCAUUUAAAUAUUUACAAAGUUCCAGAGGAAGCACAAAGGAACUUGGUGUGAAAAAAAAGCCAUAGCUCCUGCAUCGUAGCACUUCGUAAACAGAUUCAGACACAUUUGUACAGAUUUACAAGUGUUGCAAAUCAAAUUUAUCAGUGCAGUCACGUUAAGUGGUUUUGGCGCAAGCAGGGUCGCACAGGACCUGGAGCGCCCGGAAGGGCUGCUUGGCGGGACUAGGGAAAUAGUGUAUGAUGACACAUCUGUAUACACUGUGGUGCAAUACAGGGGGAAAAAAACAAAGCUUUACCCUGGAGAAUGUAGUGGGCGAUACAGCAAACAAACCGAACGGAUUGUAGACUUUGAACUGGAAAUUCUGGUGCACUCUAGCAACACUGAUAAGUAAUAUGCAGUUAUUACAUAUAAAGGAAAGCAGAGGUGACGGUGGAUGUCACCACAGGAAGGAGAGAGAGGAAUGGUGCAACACCAGACAAAGCAACACCGUGGUUACCAGCCAGGGACCCGUUUUGUCACUUCCGCAGGAAGUGACAUACCCGGAAGUGAGGGAGGCGGAGCCAGGUAUGCUGGGACUGUGGUGAUGUGCAGUGGGAAGUCUCCUUGGGCCACAUCCAAUCCUCUGCAGACUGUGGGAAUUUAAGGCAGAAACUCAACAUACUCCAUUGUUGGUGGCCUGGAUUGUGCUGAACCUAAUACAUUUUGUCUCCUGAUUAUUAUUGAUGACCUAUAUUGUUCCAUCUUCAUCGUUACCCUUCUGGCUUCCUGACCUUGGUUUGUUUCCUGGAUAUUCUUCUGUUUGCUACCUGUCCUGAACCUGGAGUAUGACCUGUUAAACUGCUUGUUUCUGGACUUUGCCUCAGUGACCUGACUCAUUGUUCAUUGUUACUGUAUAUCCUGGUGUCCUGCCCCAUUCUAACCUACUUGGAGAGCCAGGAUUUGCAGGCUGUUAGCAGCAAAGUUCAAACCUCCUUGUGGAGGUCACUAGUGAACACUUGAACUGCUGUAAACUAUUCUAAGUAAAGCCAAAUAGAGCUGACCUCACCAGAAUUUCAUAUUUUCUGGAUUUCCUUAAAACUGGUCAUGCAAAUUAAACCCAGUUAA